AUGUACAUUCCUACACCAUAGUGUUAAUGCAUCGGAUCCCAUUAGAACUCUGCAGUUAAGCACACUUAGGAUAGAGUAGCACUGGGAUGGGUGACCUCCUGAGAAGUCCUAGUGUUUUACAUG
rfam:Picea glauca, whole genome shotgun sequence.